rnacentral:rRNA from 1 species
UACAGAGGAUGCAAGCGUUAUCCGGAAUGAUUGGGCGUAAAGCGUCUGUAGGUGGCUUUUUAAGUCCGCCGUCAAAUCCCAGGGCUCAACUCUGGACAGGCGGUGGAAACUACCAAGCUUGAGUACGGUAGGGGGCAGAGGGAAUUUCCGGUGGAGCGGUGAAAUGCGUAGAGAUCGGAAAGAACACCAACGGCGAAAGCACUCUGCUGGCCGACACUGACACUGAGAGACGAAAGCUAGGGGAGCGAAUGGG